AACGAACGCUGGCGGCGUGGAUUAGGCAUGCAAGUCGAACGAGAAAGCAGUCGAAAGGCUGUGAGUAAAGUGGCGAAAGGGUGAGCAAUACAUAGACAACGUACCUCAAACUUUGGGACAACGGCUGGAAACGGCCGCUAAUACCAGAUGUUGCUACGGUCUCGCAUGGGACUGUGGCCAAAGGCGGGGAUCCUUCGGGACCUGUCGGUUUGAGAGCGGUUUAUGUCCUAUCAGCUAGUUGGUGAGGUAACGGCCCACCAAGGCUAAGACGGGUAGGAGGCCUGAGAGGGUGCCCUCCCACACUGGGACUGAGACACUGCCCAGACUCCUACGGGAGGCUGCAGUCGAGAAUCAUUUGCAAUGGACGAAAGUCUGACAAUGCGACGCCGCGUGCAGGAGGAAGGCCUUCGGGUUGUAAACUGCUGUCAGGGGUUAUGAACGCUACGGGACUAACACUUCUGUAGCUUGACAAAGGCCCCAGAGGAAGCUCCGGCUAAAUCCGUGCCAGCAGCCGCGGUAAUACGGAUGGAGCAAGCGUUGUUCGGAAUCACUGGGCAUAAAGCGCAUGUAGGCGGCUCUGAAAGUAGGGUGUGAAAUCCCCUGGCCCACCCAGGGAACUGCAUUCUAAACUUCAGGGCUUGAGUGAAGAAGGGGAGAGAGGAACUCCUGGUGGAGCGGUAAAAUGCGUAGAUAUCAGGAGGAACGCCGGUGGAGAAGUCGUCUCUCUGGUCUUUUACUGACGCUGAGAUGCGAAAGCUAGGGGAGCAAACGGGAUUAGAUACCCCGGUAGUCCUAGCCGUAAACGAUGGGCACUAGGUAGGGGAAGUUCCGACACUUUCCCUGCCGAAGCAAAUGUGAUAAGUGCCCCGCCUGGGGAGUACGGUCGCAAGACUA
rnacentral:rRNA from 1 species